rnacentral:lncRNA from 1 species
AAAUGAAGCCCACUAGGCCUAACUAGUUAUGAAGGAGGCCAUCCAAGAUCAUUAGCCCCAGGCUCAGCCAAGCCCAGCUGACGGGCAUGCGUGUGACAUGGGAAGAUCCCACCCAGACUCAUGGACCCUGGAAACAGCUGGUUUUGAAAUCAAGCAGAUAUUGAAUAUCUGGUGA